ACUCAAGGGAAUUGUGGGAGUCCAGUGAGUUUGAACAUCCUCACGCCAAGAAUGUACUCUUACCCUUUGUCACUUUUCUGGGUUGCUUUUAUGAACUGGAGCUGUUCGAUGAAAUGCGUAGCAGUUAGGUUUGGCUGAUUCAUCCUCACUCUUCAUUUCGUUUAUAAUUGUAGAAUUUUACUAUUAUAAUUCUGCCCUUUUCUUCUUUUGCUAUUAUAUGUUUUCUUCUUCCACUCAACUUCGUUAUCUA
rnacentral:misc_RNA from 1 species